rnacentral:rRNA from 1 species
CAGUAGCCGCGGGAAUACGUAGGUGGCAAGCGUUGUCCGGAAUUAUUGGGCGUAAAGGGCUCGCAGGCGGUUUCUUAAGUCUGAUGUGAAAGCCCCCGGCUCAACCGGGGAGGGUCAUUGGAAACUGGGAAACUUGAGUGCAGAAGAGGAGAGUGGAAUUCCACGUGUAGCGGUGAAAUGCGUAGAGAUGUGGAGGAACACCAGUGGCGAAGGCGACUCUCUGGUCUGUAACUGACGCUGAGGAGCGAAAGCGUGGGGAGCGAACAGGAUUAGAUACCCCCGUAGUCCCUGUCUAUUAUAC